UUGAGGGAAGACCUUGUCGCUCUUUACAACUACCUGAAAGGAGGUGGUAGCGAGGUGGGCGCUGGUCUCUUCUCCCGAGUAACAAGUGACUGGAUGAGAGGAGAUGGCCUCAAGUUGUGCUAGGAGAGGUUUAGGUUGAAUAUUAAGAAAAUUGUUUAGCGAAAGAGUGGUGAAGCGUUGGAAUGGGCUGCCCAGGGAAGUGGUGGAGUUGCAAUCCCUGGAGGUUGGAUCAAAAGAUGCAUAGCCAGCAGGUGGAGGGAGGUGAUUCUGCCCCUCUGUGCUGCUCUUGUGAGACCCCAAGUGGAGUAUUGUGUCCAGUUCUGGAAUCCUCAACAUAAGAAGGAUAUGGAGCUGUUGGAACAGGUCCAGAGGGGGGCUACAAAGAUCAUAGGAGGGCUGGAGCACCCUCCCUACGAGGACAGGCUGAGGGAGUUGGCCUUGUUCAGCCUGGAGAAGAGAAGGCUCAGAGGAGAUAAUGUAGCAGUCUUCCAGUACCUGAAGGAGCUACAGGAAAGCUGGAGAGGGAUUGUUCUCAAAGGACAAGGGUUAAUUGGUAUAAACUGGAGAGGGGCAGACUUAGACUAGACAUAAGGAGGAAUUUCUUCACAAUGAGGGUGGUGAGGCACUGGAACAGGUUGCCCAGGGAAGUUGUGGAUGCCCCAUCCCUAGAGGUGUUCAAGGCCAGGUUGGAUGGGGCCUUGGGCAGCCUGAUCUAGUGGGAGGUAUCCCUGCCUGUGGCAGUGGGUUGGAACUGAGUCAUCUUUAAGGUCCCUCCCAGCCCAAACUAUUCUGUGGUUCUAUGAAAAAGCGUGAUGAUGCAGUGCUUUGGGACAUGGUUUAGCAGAUACGGUGCUGUUGGGCUGAUGGUUGGACUGGAUGAUCUUAGAGGUCUUUUCCAACCUUAACAAUGCUGUGAUUCUGUGAUUCUCGUGGAGAGGGGGAUGGAGCCAGCUGCCAUUCCUGAAGUGCUUCCCAGCAGCGCCAAGUUUGAAACAUCUGCACAAGAUAAUGGAGGGGAAAAAUAGGGAUGGGUCUCCCAUUGUAUCUGCCCAUGUUAAUGAAACAUGAGGUGAAGGAGAACCAGAUUACAGACUUAGCAUCUGAAAGAGCCUUUGAUGCAGUUCUUCAGGCUGUCAAGGAAACAACAGUCAGUGUUAGGCGCUGGGUUGGCUAAUCCCUUUCUAAUGACUUAGGAAAUGUGAAGCAUCUGUGCAGGGUGCAAAGCGAUGCUGGGUAAUGGAGACUAGAGGUAGCUGGCUAUGCAUUCUCCUUUAAAGUUGCUCUUAAAGCUUGGGAAAGAGGCAGCGAGCAGCAGAAUUGUCAGUGGGGUCUUGUAAUAAACAUAAAGCUAUGGGAACUGUUACAUCUACCAGAUGAACCUGCACUUCUGAGAGGAGAGGGAAGACAGGCACUACCUCACACAUUCAUGCUGUGCAGCAUCUGGAUGCCUGUCCAGCUGAGUGACCUGGUAUAUGAGGAAUGGCUGGCACAUAUGUUUAGCUUGGUGACUGCCUCUACCUGCUUCAUCUCAUCAUAGAACAUGGGCAAGAUCUUAAAGCUGCAGGAGAACCCAGGGCGUGCCUGGCAGGAGGAUCUGGAGUCAAGGACUUUUCACCAUCUCGUACUGGUCUGCCAAGGAGAAGCACAAGAAGUUGGAGGGGAGCAGAGCCAGGACAGCUGACCCCAACUGGCCAAAGAGAUAUUCCAUACCAUAUGAUGUCAUACUCGGUAUAUAAACUCGAGGAAAGCUGGCCAGGGGAACCGUGGCAUCGGAACAGAGUUGGGCAUUGGUCAGCGGGUGGUAAGCAAUGGUGCUGUGCAUCACUUGUUUUGCAUAUUCUUUUAUCAUCAUUAUUAUUCUCUUCCUUUUCUGUCCUAUUGCACUGUUUUUAUCACAAAACAUGAGUUUUACUUUUUUUAUUCUGAUUCUCUCCCCCAUCCCACUGUGGAAGCUGGGAGCGAGUGAACAGCUGUGUGGUUGAUUUAGCUAACUGCUGGGUUAAACCACAACAUGGAUGACACUGCUCUAUUUUUCAUUUUUAAUUUACAAUUCACUUUCUGACAAUAAGCUUUGCUCACACACAGAAGUUAAUAGUGAUUUAGCUAAAUUAAUUUAGAAUUAAAGGGAAUUAAACAUAUGGGCUCUUCUUCCUCCUCUCCCUAAUGUGGCCUUUUUAACUUGGCUAAAGAGUGGGCCAUUUGUCACAAUAUAGGGGCGAACUGGUGAAGGCGUGCCUUGCCUGCUUGCCUCUGUCUGAUUCUCUGCUAUAUGAUGAGAUUUCGAUUUAGUUGAAUGUCUUUUAAUCUGAAACUGUAGGAGGGUAAAGUCGCUUUCAUAGACUUGGGGUUCUUUGCCAGAAGGCUGUGUCCUUGACCAGUUUUGUA